rnacentral:rRNA from 1 species
UACGGGGGGGAGCAAGCGUUGUUCGGAUUUACUGGGCGUAAAGGGCGCGCAGGCGGCUCAUUUUGUCAGGCGUGAAAGCCCCCGGGCUUAACUUGGGAACUGCGUUUGAUACGGAUGGGCUAGAGUUCGGGAGAGGAGAGUGGAAUUCCCAGUGUAGAGGUGAAAUUCGUAGAUAUUGGGAAGAACACCGGUGGCGAAGGCGGCUCUCUGGACCGAGACUGACGCUGAGGCGCGAAAGCGUGGGGAGCAAACAGG